rnacentral:snRNA from 1 species
AUCUUUGUGCAGUGGCAGUAUAAAGUAUAUCUGAGGCGUUGUUAUUACUAGUUGAAAACUUUACCCAAUACCCCGCCAAGAUGAUUGUUUAUAUGAUCAGCUUGUGCAAUUUUUGACGGUCUCUGGGUAGA